ACACACACACACACACACACACACACACACACACGAUGGGGCCCGAUCCUUUCAGCAUUUAGGGUAAAAUGAGAGACAGAGAUGAGUAACAAAGGCCUGCUACUAGCACAGACUUCUCUGGGAAGGAGGAAGGUUGGGGUGGGAAUGUCCUCUCUGGUGUGCCAGAUGUGUGCAUUCUUUAUUGGCAGCAGCCUGUCAGUGGCAGGAGGUGCCCUUUUCCAGGUGUGGCCACACAGGUUUGACUUCCCAGCCUCAGGCCAGCCCCUGUGUCUCUCCACCGCGCCUUAACCGGAGCAUCAUCCCAGAAUCCCCUGGUCUGGUCCUGACAGGGAGCCUUCUACACCUGCUCUGACUUCCUUACACCCUCUAAAGUAGAGAGACCCGGAACCAAGCUGCAUUCUCUCCAUCACUGGAGCUGUGGAAGGUUUCAUCCUCUUGAAUGCUUAAGCCUGGAGUUGCCCUAUGACAAGAUUCUGGCUGAUAGGAUGGGAGCCAAGGUGAUUGGUCAAAAACUUCUACAAGAAGAAAUGGUUGGUCCUGCGCAUUAUCUUUUCUCCUGGAAAGUGCAGGUGGUACUGGUGAAUUGGAAGAUACCCUAGAAGAUGGCAAAGGAAGAGAGAAGGAAGCUCGGCCUUGAACAGCCAGGACUCCUUCCCCAGCCUGGACCAGCUGGCUACUGUGGACUCACGCAAGAGGAGACACACCUCUUCAUCACAGCCUUCUGCUCUUCCCUCAGGCCUUGGCCUGUGUGACAGUUCCCUGGGAAGCAGUCUAGUACCCUCUGUUGACCCUCUGCUUCCUGUGAGUGCUCACCCUGUCCUCACUGGAGCAUCCAUCACAGUGUCCUAUGAAGGCUUUUUCUUAGUUAGGGCUUCUAUGGCUGUGAAGAGACACCAUGACCAUGACAACUCUUUUUUGUUUUGUUUUGGUUUGGUUUCGUUUGGUUUAGUUUUUCGAGACAGGGUUUCUCUGUGUAGUUUUGGUGCCUGUCCUGGAUCUCGCUCUGUAGACCAGGCUGGCCUUGAAGUCGCAGAAAUCCACCUGCCUCUGCCUCCUGAGUGCUGGGAUUAAAGGAGUGCGCCACCACCGCCUGGCCAAUGAUGACAACUGCUAUAAAGGAAAACACUUAAUUGAGGCUGGCUUACAGUUCAGAGGUUCAGUCCAUUGUCCUUGUGGCGGGACAUGGCAGCAUACAGGCGGACAUGGUGCUGGAGAGGUAGCCAAGAGUUUGACAUCCAGAUCCACAGGCAGCAGGAAGAGAGUGAGACACUGGGCCUGGCUUGAGCAUCUGAGACCUCAAAGCCCACCCCCAGUUACACACUUCCUCCAACAAGGCCACACCUACUCCAAAGGCCACACCUCCAAUGAUGCUAUGCCCGAUGAGUCUAUCGGGGUGGGGCGUGCAUUUUCAUUCAAACCACUACAGACUUCACCACUGGUCUGAAACCCCACAAGGCUGGGAGCACCAUGAGUCAGGGACGCAAUCCCAUCUGCCCUCACUUUCUCAGGUUCAAGAAUGCAAUAGGCACUUAAUAGUCGCAGAAUAAACCAGUGGAAGUGCCCCAUGCUUACAAACUGCCUUCCUUCUUUCCUAAAGCGCUUUUACAAGCUCAUCACAGACAAACACAAAAGAAUAAUUCCCAUGCUCCUCUUCCUUCUUCCCAAGGCAUUUGGACCUUUCUCCCUUCUAUGAUGGGUCACAAGAGGGCCCAGAAAGAGAGAGCCCCAGGUUAGGGGUGUAGCUCAAUUGGUAGAGUGCUUGUUUGCAUGCGCAGCGCCCUUGGUUCAGUCCCAGCUCUGUAUAAAACAGGCAUGGUGGCACGUGCCUGCAUUCCCUGCCCUUGGAAUGUAGAGGCAGGAAGAUCAGAAGUUCAAGGUCAUCCUUUACAACAUAUCAAGGUUGAGGCUAGCCUGGGCUACAUAAGACCCUGUUUCAAAAUAAAAAUGUUCGUUCAUUCCACUGCAAUGGGAAGUCUGGUAGGGUUUUGUGGAGUGCAGCAGAAAUUUCCCUCACCAGAUUUGAAACCUAGGCAAAAACCUAGUAUUUUGGUAGAAGAGAAGGAGGAAUGUGUAUGUCAGACUUAACCGGAAGAAGCAUGUGAACUCUACAAUUUGUUUUCCACUACACAUAGCUGUGGGGUCUAUCUCUAACAGGGGCAGGUGUUCAUGAAAGGUUCCUCUGGUCACUGUAGCAGGAGUCAUUUAUCCUCCAAGACCCAAGGUCUUAGCAGCAACAUCUCAGAGUCAGGCUCUGGCCUCCUGCCAGCCUUUCAUUGAAGAUGCUUUCCAAGGCAUUGGCCUUGGCAGCGGCCAGUGGCUAUGCUUUUAAUUAUAGCUUCCUGGUCUUUGCCAGAUCCUCCUUCGGCCAUCUCCGCACACAGCGAAUCUCAUUACGGCUAGUGGGGUCAGAAGAGCAGUCCGUCUGCCACACUGUCCAGCAGCCUCUGGUGUGGAGACUCAAAGCACAGCAGGGUCCACACCCUCAAACUGACCUCCAAACUCGGCUGUCACCUCACGGCUUAGGAGGUGUUAGGAACCAAGGUAGCCCCCUGCCGUAGUGGGGGUGAUUAUUCGCACCAGAAUCCCACACAUUUGUGAGCCUUGUUCUCUACCACCCUGUCCUUGAUGGGCAUCUCUCAGGUUUUCUGCCUGGUGGAAUCCAGGAGGAGGGGAGAUAGGAAGUCUCUCACAGACUGUCUUCAUCAAUUUUCUGAGACUAUAAGAGAAUACCUGAGGCUGAGUAAUUAACGUAGGAAAGAAGUUUACUUAGUUCAUGUUUCUGGAGGUUGGGAAGUCCAAGAACAUGGUGAGAGCCCUGUGUUGCUUUAAAUCCUGGUAGGAAGUGGAAGGGUGAGCAGGCAUGCACCAAAGGGGCAGGCCUGCUUCACAGCAGUCUACUCUUGAGGUAACUGGUCUAGCCCUGAGAGAGAGAACCCAUUCCGGACAGCCAUGCACUCUCUCUCUUUAGGACGUCAGCACCUCUCAAUAAUGCCACUUUGGGAGUGAAUAUUUCAACCGGAUUCCCCAUGAUUCUAGGGAACAUAGUAUUACAGUUUGGAUCUAGAAAAGUGGUUCUCUGUAAGUUCAAGGCCAGCACGCUACAUAAUGAGCUCCGGGCCAUCCAGGGGUGUAUAAUGAGACUCUGCCUCAACAAAGCAAAAAGUCGUGAUGAGACUGACAGAGGCCAUUGCUGAGCACACACUGCAAGCCACGCAAUAUGUUUUUCUCAUCUAGUUCUCACAGUAAUAUGUGUUAUUGUUCCCAUUUUACAGAUGAGGAAGUUAAGACUCAGGUAAGUCAUGUAAUUUUCCCAAGAUGACUUCAAGGCCAUGGAUGUUUGACUCCUCAAUUUCAACCACUGCAGUUUUGUAAGAGGAUAGACUGCCACAGCAGUGGGAAGAAACUUGAGAAAGACUAUAUCCUACACCCACAUUUAAUGGUUCCGAAAAAAGGACUCCCCUAUACUUAGGUAUAAGAAAGGGUCUAGACAGGAAUGAAACAAAUAAAAACAUAAAGUAGGGAGUCUGAACCUUUUCUUUCUGUGUAAUGAGUCUGUUUUUACAACUAUAAAAUUCUAAUUGCUCUAAGUAUCAUAGUUUUGUCAACUUGACACAGACCUAGACACACCUGGGGAGAAGGAGUUUCAACUGAGGAACCACGGGUUGGCCUGUGUGCAUGUCUGGAGCAUUUUGCUUAACUGACUUACCUAUUCACACCAAAUCUUCUAGAACUGGGGAUACAGAUGGUCGUGAGCCACCAUGGUGCUGGGAACCAAACCCAGGUAUUCUGGAAGAGCAGCCAGCAGUGCAUUUAACUACUGAACCAUCUCUCCAGCCCCUGCUCAGUGUUUUAUGACAGCAACAGUAAAUUUCUAGAACAUUAAGUUAAAAACUCCAGAAAUCAUUUCUCCAUAUGAUGUUGACUUCAACAUCUUCUACGAGGUGUAGAUUUGGUAAGGCAUGUUAGCUUCAUGCACUUGGCCUGUGGUGGUUUGAAUGAGAAUGGUCCCCAUAGGCCCCCAUAUAUUUGAAUACUUGGUCACCUGUUGGUAGAGCUGUUUGGGAAGAGGAUAAAGAGGUGUGAUCUUGCUGGAGGAGGUGUGUCAUGGGGCAGGUUUAGAGUUUUUCAAAAAUCCACGCCAUUCCUAAUUGUCUCUCUCUGCCUUGUGAUUGUGGAUUGAAUGUGAGCCCUCAUCCAUUGCUCCAGCACCAUGCCUGCCUGCCUGCUGCCAUACUCCCUGCAGCCCCAAAUUAAACUCUUUCUUCUAUAAAUUGCCUUGGUCAGGGUGUCUUAUCUCAGUGAUAUAAAAGUAACUAAGAAGUGCAGCUACCCAGCCCCGUGCUUAGAAGAGUUUAUCCUUGGUUUCAUUCUCUGCUAAAUGCCAUCUUGAAAUGCUUAAUGAUCCUAAACAAGAGGCUUUGCAUUGUUAUUUAGCCACAGGCCAUGCAGAUUGUACAGCCAAUGCUGCAAUGUAGGAGAGUCAAAAUAAUGCAUAGUGGUGCAUACCUUUAAUCCCAGCACUCGGGAGGCAGGAGGAUCUCUAUGUGUUCAAGUGAUGCCAGCCUGAUCAACCAAGUGA